rnacentral:sRNA from 14 species
AUUUUUUAAAAUCUUUGGAUAAAAAAUAAUUGUAAACAAAAACUUCAUAUUCAGAAGUUCAACAACGGUAUAACAUCAGCGAUGCAAGUGCAAAAAGGCGGUGAAAUUGGCCGGUU